AUGUCUACUUUCUCACCACCACCACUUCACGAUGAUUUUGGCAAAGAAGCCUCCAGCACCUUCAACUCCUUCCUCGCCAUCUUCGGCAUUAUCGCGGUGCUGAGCAUCUUGGGAACCGUCGCCAUAGCCUGCUUCAUGUACAUGUGUGUCAGGAAGAGCGGCCUCCCCGCCAUCAACAUCAACACGACAACUAUGCCAGCUGCGGUGCUCUACGCGGUGGUGCCGGACUCCUAGAUAUGGGACGCCACCGUGGAGAGGUUCCUCAAGGAGAUCGCGGGGGAGAAGCCCAUCCAGUUCACCCCGCAGCAGCUCUCGAGCUUCACCAACAGCUACUCCGCCUGGCUCAGCGCCGUCUAUAAGGGCACAAUGGCGGAGGGCAUGCUGCCCAACGGCCUCACGGUUGCCGUGAAACGCCUCCACCCCGGCCAAGACGACAGGACCUCUCAGGAGCAGUUCAUGGCGAAGGUGGGCACCAUCGCGCGGACAGACCACAUCAACCUCGUCAAGCUCUUCGGUUUCUGCUACGACGCCGACGUGCGCGCGCUGGUGUACGAGUUCACGGAGCACGGCGCGCUCGACUCCUACCUCUUCGACCAGAGCCGCGAUGUCGGCUUCGAGACGGCGCGCGCCAUCGCCGUUGCCGUCGCCAGCGGGCUCUGGUGCCUCCAUGAGGAGUGCCCGCAGAAGAUCGUGCAUUGCGACAUCAAGCCCGGCAACGUCCUCCUCAACGGUGGCCUCACGCCCAAGGUGGCCAACUUCGGCCUCGCGCAGCUGCUGAACCGGGCCGACACGCACAAGACUGUCUCCGGGAUGCGCGACGCGCCCGGGUAUGCCGCGCCGGAGAUGUGGAUGCAGGCCGGCGCCACCGAGAAGUGCGAUGUCUACAGCUUUGGCAUCCUCCUCUUCGAGAUCCUCGGCCGGAGGAGAAACUUCGAUGAGGCCGCGCCAGAGAGCCAGCAGUGGUUCCCAACACUUUAG
rnacentral:rRNA from 1 species